UAGUGGGAUUAAAAUGAAAGCAAUGUGAAAAUUAAAAUUAAGCAAUGAAGAUGAUGGGAAUUUAAAAAAAACUUUCUUAGGCAGAGGGUGGAAUUAAAUAUUUUCCAGCGAUGUUCAAGAAAAGGUGACGGGCGGUAACCAUGGAGACUGGUGGUCGGGUCGCCAGAAACCCCGGACUCGGGUUUGUGGGAAGAAGCCAGAGCACCUGAACAAACCUACACGAUUACAGGGAGAACAUACAAUCCUCUUACAAACAACGGCAGGUGACGCACCAGCAAUAACUCUCGGAGAUGUGAGGCGAGAUAUAGGCUUUUAUUGGCUGGAAGAAAGAACAAGCAGCAAUUGACCACCACACUACAUCCUGGAGACUGAGGCCGGGGCUGUGUCUCCAAUCGUCUUUAUACCGGGGUCUGUGGGAGGAGCCACGGUCCGUGGGAGGAGCCACAGGAGCGGUCAGCGGGGUGGCGUGUCCAGACAGACUCAGCACCACCACUCUUUCGCCAGCGACUGAUGCCAAUUGCUGACAGCUUGGGCAGAGUAGACACCACUCAUGAUUUUUUGCUGCUGACUAAUGACACCAAGAUCCAGGAGACCCACAAAGACAAGUGUAACUCCAGAAGGGACGUGUGGGGAAUGCCACUACACGCUGGUUCCUCUGCCAAACCUCCUUCACUACACGUAACCCUGAUAGACCAUGUGAUGGUUUCAGAAUAAGUGUUAAAUUGAAUCAGAAUCAGGUUUAUUACCACUGAUAUACUGUAUGUUGUGAAAUUUGUUGAUUUUUGGCAAGAUGUAAAAUUAUUAUAAGUUACAUAAGCAAAUAGAUUGUGCAAAAGAUGAAUAACAAGGUAGUGUUCAUGGGUUCAUGGACUGUUCAGCUAUCUGAUGGAGGAGGGGAGUUCUUAAGGCAUCGAGUUCAGAUCUUGAAGCUCCUGUACAUCCUUCCCAAUGGUAGAAAUGUUAAAUAAAUUUUGCAAGUUGCAGAUGAUUUGACUGCGAAUAUGUGAAGCGUUGCGUGUGUCUGACUGCACAUUGUAUGCUCUUAUUUUUCAAUGGAAAGAUUUAAUUUGAUGUAAUGUGGGUUUGUAAAUAAAAAAUCUGCAGUGGUCAAGGGAAAAGAAUGGUAUUAGUGAGAACAACUACAGGGUAUAGAGUUAUUUUCAAGAGUUACACCAUAGAACACAGAACAGUACAGUACAGGCCCUUUGGACUAUGAUGUUGUGCCAACCCUUUAACCUCUAAAAGAUCAAUCUAACCCUUCUCUCCCACAUAGCCCUCCAUUUUAUUAUCAUCAAUGUGCCUAUCUUAAAAUCUCUUUACUGUUCCUAAUGUAUCUGAUGCUACCACCUUUCCUGGUAGCAUGUUCCGUGCACCCACCUCUUCUCUCUGUGAAAAACACACCUCUGACAUCCUCCUGUACUUUGCUCCAAACGCCUUAAAGUUAUGCCGUCUUGUAUUAGCCAUUUUUGCCCUGGGAAAAAGUCUCUGGUUGUCCACUCGAUCUAGGGCUCUUAGCACAUUCUAAUUCUUGUGAAGUCAAGUUUACAAGAGUUCACUGCCAGCUUUCUCAUUUAGAUCCCCCUAUAAUACAGAUGAGUCUCCAUUAAUAUCUGGGCACUGGAAGGAAAUGGGAAUGGACGGUAAUCAGAACUAUGGUCCAGAGCUCUGUUAAGGAACUUUAGCUUUGUCACCUAACACUAACAAACUUAUAGAGAUGUACUGGUUAAAGCAUCUUGUUUGGCUGCAUCAUUUUCUGGUAUGAAAAUUUCAAUGUGCUGCAGUGUAGGGUGCUGCAGAGAGUAAUAGACUCUGCCCAAUAUAUCAUAGGGACAUCCCUCCCCAAUGGAGGCAUUGUCUCAAGAAGGCAGCAUCAGUUAUCAAAGAUCCCCAGCAUCCGGACCUUGCCAUUUCCUCACAGCUCCCGUCAGGCAGGAGGUACAGAAGCCUGAAGUUCCAUAUCAUCAGGUUCAGGAACAGCGAAUUCCCUUCA